rnacentral:lncRNA from 1 species
GUUAGCCAAGAGAGAUAUGGUUAUGGAGAUCUGAGAUGGUGAUGUAUCAGCAUUGUAUUAGUUCAUCUCAUGCUUAGUAGUUGCUUCAUCAUGGUAGUUGAUAAUUAAUUAACCUGUUAAUGCUAUGUUAUUGUCUUGCCUUGAUGUUUAUGGUUGUUGUGAGCUUGCAAGUACAUUCAAUGUACUGACCUGGUGUGUCAUGCCAGAUUGCAGGUGAUGCCGUGAUUGCUUGAUUGCUUGUCGUGGUUUCCGUUCGUGCGAGCUAGAUCGUGUCCCAGCCAGAGUCCCUGCAGAGUGGAGUUCACCACCUUCGUCGUUGUUCCGCUGCUAGAAGUUUUCCGUUGCUACGAGAUGUUCCGCUGCUAGCAUAGAGCAAGUGUAGUAUCGCAGGUGUAGUGUCACCAUGCUGAUGUGAUCAUUGUAACAUCAGACCCGUGUAAUUAUUAUUCUUGUAAUAAGAGCUAAUUUGUUCUAUGUCAAGCAGUGCCAUAUUCCAGAGACUUCUCCUCGAUCUCUGGGCUGGAAUACGGGGCAUUCCGGUUUCUCUGAGCCGGGGUGCCACAGGCUUGGUAUCAGAGCAGGUCUGGCUGUAGGACGCCCUAGUCAGCGCGAGCGGUAGAAACCGGUAGAAAUCGGUAGUUUAGAUUCUGGCGUGUUUAUUGCAUUUGGUUGCUGCAUUUGUUUGUUGCAUAGCAUGCAUAUAGCCUUAUUUUGUUAUUAACGGUUUAAUCUGGUGAGUGUAGAUGGCAUCGGUCCGGAUCCACUACAGCUCAGCCUUUGCAUUUCUCCAGUUCUCUUUUGUUGCUCAUUCUUCGGUGUUUGGUGUCAUUUCUGUCCCAACAGAGUGAUGCCAAGUGAUCGCGACACUGUUUGCAAAAAUGGUGCUCAGGUAUCGCGCCGAGUUAUUUCCUUCAGCCCCACCUUUUGUUUUAGUGGUAGAAAUGCUUCUAUCACGGAUCGUCCUUUUGCUUGUCAUUUUGGCAACCCUUAAUGAUCGUAGUUAUCAAGGAAGGGCAGUGUCAGCAGCCUCAGUUUUUCCCCGCUAUCCUAUUUCUUGGACGAGUACGGAUCUUUUUCCGUCCGCUUGAUAAUAAUGUGGUUGCGACCUUCGUGUCCCGCUACAUGAUUACCGAGUGCGUCCUCGCCUCUGAGCUAGUCCAGGUUGCUACCUGGCUAAGCGAGCACUUGGUGUAGCGUUGUUUACACCAAUUCUUCCACACAUUUAUUUGUCCUCGUGCACAACAUCACAGCAUAUGCUAGAUCGUAGAGCCGGAGAUCCCGCGAGAAUUGUGUGCUUAAGUAGGCAUGCAUAUUGUGUGACUAGCAGUAAUAUGUGACAUUGAUUGUGUGUGAAUUGAUUAUUGUUGUGUGUUUUUGUUUAGUUGAGUUUUCUUUUGCUCCUUUCUUUUUUGGGCCCCGGUGUUACAUUAUUUUUUCCCUAUAAAGAGUUGCUCAUAAACUGACACCAGACUCGAAGAAGUAAUAAGUAUUUCAAAUAUUUUGAAGAAGCUCAGCUAAACAUUAUGGCCUUCUCAGUCAACCGCAUGAUAUAAGGAAUAUCUGUUCAGAAUACCAAUUGUGUCUUGGAUUGAUUAUCCGCAUCAAUUCUAGAGCAGUAAUGAUCCAGCGAGUAGAAAGGCAAGUCAGAUGCAAGACCAACGGUAUAUUUUUCAGUCAAAGGUAUGGAUCAUAGGCAAAGUUUUGGCUCAGCAAUAAAUGAUACUUGAAAUAUGUUAUAUUCCAAGAGAAAGUCAGGAUGUGAUAUGCUCAACGAAGACAGUCAAACAAAUUUUCUCAUGCAAAUGAUCAGCCGCAAAAUAUUAUGGAUGUGUGCAUGGAUUUCAGUCUCCCUAUCAGUAUGAAGUUUUGGAUAUAAGAAACCUAGCAUUAUUCCACACGCUAUCGGAAGAAAUUCAUGAGGCAAGGCUCCUCAAUUUUUUCCGCAGCAUGAUAUGUGAAUAAUUUCCGGUCCACGAUAUCCGGUCUUUCUCAACAAGAUUGUAACAUCCCAAAUUUUCAAUUUGGAAUGUUAUACAUUAGGACGUCAUGCAUAUCAUAUUUUAUUUUGCUUUUGGUUUUGAUCCUAGAAAAUCCUAAGCAACUCAAGGACCCACGGAGAGAGUUGGGGAUUUCGUUAUUUACGUAUUUGAGUUUUCUCAAAUUAUGUAAACAGGAUCAUUUGAUUUUAUUUAUUUCAUCAUUAAUUAUUUCUAUUACAAAAAUAUGAGAGCGGGAAUAAAAUGACUUUCCCAAAAUAUAGAAAUAUUGAAGAUUUAAUAAAAAAUCAAAUAAGUUUUAUUUCGGAGUUUUUCGGUAUUUUUAUUUGAAUUUAGGAAAAAUGCGCGUUUUUCAAAGUAGUAGUUUGGGCCCAGAUAAAUGUUCACUUUAUCGGGCUUGAUUUUAGGAACCCGGCAAAAUUUAUUUCGUGAUUUUUGGAGUCUGUUUAGUAUUUCUUUUUAUUUUUCUUCCGAACGGAAUUUUAAAAAAAAACGCGAACCGACUACGGGCCGUAUUCGGCCUGGACACCGUCGGCCGGGGGCCUUUAUAUAGCGCCCGAGGGAGAGAGCCAGCCCACCAAACCGAACCCUAACCCUAGCCCUAGGCCGCCGCCGCCGUCGCCGCUGGAGUGCGCGCCUUUCGAGGUUCGCCGCCGCCUCGUUUUCCGUGCAGUUUUUUUAAAAAAAAAUUGUUCUUCGUUUUUCUUUUUCGUCGGAUUUUCCGCGGUUAUUUUCUGAUCGCGAUUUCUGAUCCGAUUUUCGUUUUAGUAUAACUUUUCGCUCGUUUAUCGGAAUCAGGCGAUUCAAGCGCCUGGAGUUUCGUCUCGAAACCCUCUUUCCGAAUAAUCAACUUAAACAAGUUUUUGCUACUGUAAAAUUUUCCCUAGAUCCAGAUUACUAGAACGAAGUUGUUUUCUUUUGCCGUUUGAUUUCUUUUGCUUCGUUCGAUUUGAUUCUUUUUGCCAACUAGGGUUCUUAAGUUGAACUUUCUGGUUAGAUUUUCUAUUUGAGUUUUACCUGUGCCUUAGAUGAAUACUUAUUGUAUGCUUGUUGUUUGUCUGCGAUAGAAUACCCGGAGUGCGUCGCUUGUUACUUCGAAUCUCUAGGUUUCGCGGAUCAUCAGCAAGGCAAGUAACACUUUGAUCAUACCUUUUCUACAACCCAGCUUUAUUGCAUUAGAUCAAUCCUCACACAUUGCAUGAUUAGGAUCUAAUUAAACUGUGGGAUGGGAAGUAGAUGAGGUAGUACCUACUACCUGUUUAUUAUCAAACCUUUGGGAGUUACUUCUAUGUUUGCUUAUUAUGCCAUGCUACGCUAGUAGACGUGGAUUGGGUGAGUGAUAUCCAUGACAGAUGUGAGAAUGAUAAUUAAGGGUUUAUCUAAGGUGGCAACCUAACACACAUAUGGGUGGAUUGAGGCACCUGGGGUUACCAGGACUUGCCUGUUUUUCUUGGACCGCCACCCAGGCCCAAAGGGAUCAUGAGACUAUUCAUACUAGAAACUUCCGUGUGCAGCCACAAGCCAUUAUGGGCUCUGGCAUAGUUGACUAAGUUGUGCAAACUCUUACAGUGGUAGACUAGCAGAUGUAGGGGAAAGUAGGUGUACCGGUCUACCCGUCGUAAGGUGCUAGCGCUUCUGAAAGACUGUGUCUCGGUCAUCCGUCUUCUCAAACACCCUGCAGUGCGAGAAACCAAACGGAGGCAAUCGAGUCUUGUGGGGAAAAGUGCGCAAACCUCUGCAGAGUGUAAUAAACUAAUCAUGGUUAGCCGUGUCCCCGGUUAUGGACAUCUUGAGUAUCUAGUACCUGGACUAUCAUGUGAAUCUCAACAUGUUACUCUAAAAUUAAUUUUGUGGGAUUUUAAUGAUGUUACUUAAUUGGGAUUGAAAAUGCUGUCAACCAUUCUCAAUGUUUAACAACCACCAUGAUAGUAAUUAAUUUAUUUCUUUGAAGUAGGGAAAAAUUGGCUUUACGCAAAAACAGUAACCAUAGAGCUUUCCACCAGCCAAAUAUGCAUAUAGUAUAGCUGUUGCAUUCCAUUAUUCUCUAUGUGUUACCUUGCCAGCAUAUUCCAUGUGCUGACCCGUUUUCGGGCUGCAACGUUAAUGUUGCAGACUUUUCAGACGACGAUUAAGGAGUUUUAUGUCGUGGUUCUAUACUCAGUGAUGCCGUUGGAGUUGAUGGACUCACUUAUCUUCCAAGCCUUCCGCUGUUAUCGUCACUAGAUGGCCUUAAGCCAUAUUUAUUGUAAUAAGUUCUCUCUUGAGACACUCGAUGUAAUAAGUGUGUGAUUGCUACUCUGCUAUAAAUCCUCCGAGUACUAUGUGGUGUCAGCAUUACUGAUCCAGGGAUGACACCGGAGCACAGAGAUCAGACUGUUUUAGGUCUGGUCGCUACAGAGAUGGUAUCAGAGCACACGCUAACUGUAGGACACGACCACUAAGCCAAAGACCUAGAUCACUCUCCUCUCUUCUGAUUUCUCAUCUUUUCUACUCUUUAGGAUGGCGGAUGCAAGGAACAAGUUCACCCAACCGGAUGAAGAUACACCCUUUGGACGCCACUUGAAGGAAGUCACUAGAUACCUGAACAUAGGAAUACCAAGCUUCACGGGAACCUACAACUCCACUUUACCUGAAGAAGAGCGCUGGAUGAUACAAGUUCAAGUUCCAGGAAGGACGUUCAUGCCAGUCACUGAGCCCAUAGAGUUUUCUUUUGAUGCCCCAACUUGGAGUCUAGGAAAGAGUAUGGCAGCUCACAUCGCCAUGGGACGCAUUGGAGAAGUCUACCGCAAGGAUCUCAAGGAUACUAUCUCCCAGAUUUGUGGGCGCCGAGAUGAACACUCGGAGAUGAUCAGCACCAGGAAGGAUAGAUCAAUUGCAGCUUUUAUUCAGGAGUUAAACCAGCACAUUCGACGACAGGAGAAUCAGAUGUGCGCCGACAUGAUAGAUCUGAAGAAGGCUAAGACUAGAAUCAAGGAACUGGAGGAAGAACUCAAGGCUACACGUGAAGAUUAUGAAGAAGAAAUUGAAGUAUUGGUGGAGAAGAAUGACGAUCUGAUCAAGAAGAUUGGAAUAUUUGUGGGAGGCCCGACACCAGUAGAUGAAGACGAGGAACCCAAGGAGAUUAGCCCGGAGGACUACAUCAUCAUUGACGCCACCGACUUGGAACAAGAUAGUAGUGAUGAUGUCUAUGUUGAUGAAGCAGGAGCAGAUAUCAUGGAGUCUACAACCGUAGAAUAUUUCUAGUAGACCACCUCAUCAGUAGUAGUAGUCCACCAUGUAAAUAUAGUAGUCCGAGCACUUUUGCGAUAGCUAGAUCGAUUGUAUGCCCUUGUUUGAUUGAUUGAAGUGAAUUGUGUGCUUUUGCCUCAUGUGCAUAUGGGUAGUGUUUUCCCUUUAGACCCCCUCUAUUCUUAUAUCUCAUCUUUUCUAAACCCUCAGAUGCCUCCGAGACGUGACCCCGGAUUUGCCUUUUCGCCGGAGCUCACCCAGUUGAUCCAGCAGCAGAACACCUUGAUGCGGUUGCUAGUUCAUAAUCAAGGGAACAACAACAAUCCACCACCACCACCACCUGUUGACCACUUAGCCCGUUUUCUUAGGCUGAAUCCGCCGGUGUUUUCCAGUAGCACCGAGCCGAUAGUAGCAGAUGAUUGGCUCCACAAGAUAGCUAGGGAGUUGACCACAGCAGGAUGCACAGAUGUGGAGAAGGUUAAGUUUGCCGCACACCAGUUAGAAGGACCCGCAGCAUCUUGGUGGGAGAAUUUCACAGCCACCUUCCCAAUCGACACUGUCACAUGGGACCAGUUUCAGCAGGCUUUUCGUACUGCCCAUGUUUCAGCAGGAGCAAUGGCCAUGAAGAAGCGUGAGUUUCAUAACUUGCGCCAAGGAGGACGGACAGUUGGCCAGUAUGUGGAGGAGUUUAGUAAGCUAGCACGUUAUGCCCCAGAUGACGCUGCUACAGAUGCAGCUAAGCAGGAGAAAUUCCUGGAAGGACUGAAUGAUGAAUUUUGUAUGCAGUUGAUGGUAUCCACCUUCAAUAACUAUCAGGAGUUGGUAGAUCGUGCUCUUAUGAUUGAAGGGAAGCAGCAGCAAAUUGAGAACCGCAAGAGGAAGUAUGGACAAGAAAGUAUAAUUCAGGAGCUCAGCAGAAGCCUCGUUUUACCCCUAGACCAGGAGGACAUUUUCAGCAUACCCAUGGAGUAGGUAGCUCGCACAAUCACAAUGGCACCAAGAAUGGUAAUGGGAAUGGAGGAAGUAAUGGACAGAACCGCAGCACCCCCUCAACCCCAGCCAAGAAGGAUUUGAGCCAUGUCACUUGCUAUAAGUGUUCGAAGCCAGGACAUUAUGCAAAUGACUGUCCUGAAGGACAAAAUGGCAAUGGGAGUUCUGGAAAGAAGCCGAACCCUUUCAAUAGGGGACAGGUGAACCACGUUAAUGUGGAGGAGGUUGAAGCUCAGCCCGAUGCAGUAAUAGGUAAGUUUUUGGUUAAGUCAAUUACUGCACUCGUUCUCUUUGAUACUGGUGCAUCGCAUUCAUACAUAUCAAGGGGAUUUGAGGAAAAGUAUAGUUUGCCCACUAGGAUUCUUAAAACACCUAUGCUAGUAAGCUCACCAGGAGCGGAGUACAUGGCCAGUCAAGGAUGUUUUCAAGUGCCAUUAAGUAUAGGAAGGCAUGUUUUCCCAACGGAUUUAAUUAUUUUGGAAUCCCAAGGUCUGGAUGUGAUUCUUGGUAUGGAUUGGCUGUCGAUGUAUGGAGGAAACAUCGAUUGCGCCAGUAAGACAAUUUUGCUCACAACGCCAGAAGGAAGAAGGAUCAAGUAUGUAUCCUGGCAUGCGCCAAACAGGACACAAGUAAAUUCCUUAUCAGGAGUUGUGCAGGAGGAAGUACCAGUGGUAAAGGAUUUUCCUGAUGUAUUUCCCGAAGAGUUGCCAGGCAUGCCACCGGAUAGAGACAUUGAGUUUUUGAUUGAGCUUUUGCCAGGCACUGGGCCAAUAUCAAAGAGACCCUAUAGGAUGCCAGCCAAAGAUUUGGUGGAAAUUAAGAAGCAGAUUAAGGAGUUACUGGAUAAGGGAUAUAUUCGCCCAAGUUCUUUGCCUUGGGGAUCACCAGUACUUCUAGUGGAGAAGAAGGAUGGAUCGCUAAGGAUGGUUGUUGAUUAUCGAGGAUUGAAUGAAGUAAAGAUCAAGAACAAGUACCCACUACCAAUGAUCAACGAUUUGUUUGAUCGAUUGCAAGGAGCUAAAGUGUUUCCCAAGAUCGAUUUGCGAUCAGGAUACCACCAGUUGAAGAUUCGAGAACAGGAUAUCCCGAAGACAGCUUUCACCACAAGAUAUGGACUGUAUGAGUAUACCGUUAUGUCAUUUGGACUGACUAACGCGCCUGCCUAUUUUAUGAACAUGAUGAACAAAGUGUUUAUGGAGUUUUUGGAUAAGUUCGUCGUAGUGUUCAUUGAUGAUAUCCUGGUAUAUUCGAAGAAUGAAGAGGAGCAUAAGGAGCAUUUGCGUUUGGUACUUGGAAAGCUCAGAGAACACCAAUUAUAUGCCAAAUUCAGCAAAUGUGAGUUUUGGUUGAAGGAAGUAGGAUUCCUCGGACAUGUUAUAUCUGGAGAAGGUAUAGCAGUAGAUCCCGCUAAAGUUGAAACCGUGACCAAGUGGGAAGCACCAACAACAGUUGGAGAGAUCCGGAGUUUUCUUGGACUCGCAGGAUACUACCGGAGAUUUAUUGAGAAUUUCUCAAAGAUUGCAAAACCUAUGACGGAGUUGUUGAAGAAGGAUACUAAGUUCAAAUGGACUAAGGAGUUUGAGGCUAGUUUCUAGGAGUUGAAGAAACGUUUGGUUACCUCACCAGUGUUGAUUUUGCCAGAUCAAACCAAGGAUUAUGAGGUGUAUUGCGACGCUUCACGUCGAGGACUUGGAGCAGUGCUUAUGCAGGAAGGAAGAGUUGUUUCGUAUGCUUCACGACAACUGAAGCCCCAUGAAUUGAAUUAUGCUACGCAUGAUUUGGAGUUAGCAGCCGUAGUGCAUGCACUGAAGACAUGGAGACAUUUCCUCAUUGGAAAUCAUUGUGAGGUGUACACGGAUCACAAGAGUUUGAAGUACAUUUUCACACAGAAGGAGUUGAACCUCAGACAAAGGAGAUGGUUGGAGCUUAUCAAGGAUUAUGAUAUGAGAUUGCAUUAUCAUCCCGGAAAAGCUAAUGUAGUAGCAGAUGCAUUAAGCCGCAAGAGCCAUGCCAAUACGUUAAUGACGGGAGAAAUACCCAAGGAGUUAGCAGGAAAUCUUCGUGAACUAUGUUUGGAAAUAGUUCCGAGAGGCUAUGUAGCAGCACUAGAGAUUCAAUCAACUUUGAUGGAUAGAAUCAGAGAAGCUCAAAAAACUGACAAAGAGAUUGCCGCUAUAAAGGAGAAACUGAGCAAAGGAAAAGCUAAAGGAUUUCGUGAGGAUGAGCACGACACCCUAUGGUUUGAAGACCGUGUUUACGUGCCUAAUGACCCGGAGAUCAGAAAGUUGAUUCUGCAAGAGGCACAUGAUUCACCGUAUUCGAUUCACCCAGGAAAUACCAAGAUGUAUUUUGAUUUGAAGGAUAUUUUCUGGUGGACCGGAAUGAAGAAGGAUAUUGCGGAGUAUGUAGCAGUUUGUGAUGUAUGUCAAAGAGUAAAGGCAGAACAUCAGAAGCCAGCAGGAUUGUUGCAACCAUUGCCGAUACCCGAAUGGAAGUGGGAUAAGCUAGGCAUGGAUUUUAUCACGGGAUUGCCAAGGACUCGUUCAGGCUAUGACUCGAUUUGGGUCGUAGUUGAUCGAUUGACGAAGGUAGCUCAUUUCAUCCCAGUAAAGACCACUUACACCAGUGCUAAGUUGGCAAAGAUUUACAUGACCAGGAUCGUAUGUUUGCAUGGAGUUCCGAGGAGUAUCGUAUCAGAUAAAGGAACCCAGUUUACCUCAAAGUUCUGGAAGCAGUUGCAUGAGACUUUAGGUACCAGGCUAGAGUUUAGUACAGCUUUUCACCCGCAGACAGAUGGACAGACUGAGAGAGUCAAUCAGAUUUUGGAAGAUAUGCUGAGAGCUUGUGCACUAGAUUAUGGAUCUAGUUGGGACGAUAAUUUGCCAUAUGCAGAGUUCUCUUACAAUAAUAGCUAUCAGACCAGUUUGAAGAUGGCACCUUUCGAAGCCUUGUACGGAAGGAGGUGCAGGACACCGUUGUCAUGGGACGAAGUUGGAGACCGCCAGUUGUUUGGACCAGAUCUGAUUAAAGAAUCUGAAUAGAAGGUGAAGUUGAUUCGCGAUAGGCUCAAGGUAGCCCAGUCCAGACAGAAGAGCUACGCAGAUUCUAAACGCAAGGAGACAGUUUACAAAGUCGGAGAUAGAGCUUAUCUUCGAGUAUCUCCACUUCGAGGGAUUAAGCGAUUUGGAGUUAAGGGGAAGUUAGCGCCACAAUUUGUAGGACCAUAUCGAGUUUUGGAGCGUAUGGGAGAAGUGGCCUACAAGUUGGAAUUGUCAGAAGGAUUGGCCGGAGUGCAUGAUGUGUUUCACGUUUCUCAGUUGAAGAAGUGUCACGCGGAGAUGACUGACAUACCUUUGAGAGACACAGUGCCAUUAGAAGCAAUUCAGUUGGAUAACAAUUUGACCUAUGAGGAGAAACCAGUCAAGAUCCUCGAGUUUGCCAGUCGAGUUACUCGUAGCAAGGUUAUCAAGUUUUGCAAAGUUCAGUGGAGCCACCACACGGAGGAUGAAGCCACUUGGGAGUGAGAGGAAGAUUUGCUCAAGGACCACCCUCACCUAUUUUCUAGCCAACCCGAAUCUCGAGGGCGAGAUUCAUCUUAAGGGGGGUAGGUUUGUAACAUCCCAAAUUUUCAAUUUGGAAUGUUACACAUUAGGACGUCAUGCAUAUCAUAUUUUAUUUUGCUUUUGGGUUUGAUCCUAGAAAAUCCUAAGCAACUCAAGGACCCACGGAGAGAGUUGGGGAUUUCGUUAUUUACGUAUUUGAGUUUUCUCAAAUUAUGUAAACAGGAUCAUUUGAUUUUAUUUAUUUCAUCAUCAAUUAUUUCUAUUACAAAAAUAUGAGAGCGGGAAUAAAAUGACUUUCCCAAAAUAUAGAAAUAUUGAAGAUUUAAUAAAAAAAUCAAAUAAGUUUUAUUUCGGAGUUUUUCGGUAUUUUUAUUUGAAUUUAGGAAAAAUGUGCAUUUUUCAAAGUUGUAUUUUGGGCCCAGAUAAAUGUUCACUUUAUCGGGCUUGAUUUUAGGAACCCGGCAAAAUUUAUUUCGUGAUUUUUCGAGUCCGUUUAGUAUUUCUUUUUAUUUUUCUUCCGAACGGAAUUUAAAAAAAACGCGAACCGACUACGGGCCGUAUUCGGCCUGGACACCGCCGGCCAGGGGCCUUUAUAUAGCGCCCGAGGGAGAGAGCCCGCCCACCAAACCGAACCCUAACCCUAGCCCCAGGCCGCCGCCGCCGCCCGCAGCUUCAGCCGUCGGAGUGCGCGCCUUUCGGGUUCGCCGCCGCCUCGUUUUCCGUGCAGUUUUUUUUUAAAAAAAUAUGUUCGUCGUUUUUCUUUUUCGUCGGAUUUUCCGCGGUUAUUUUCUGAUCGCGAUUUCUGAUCCGAUUUUCGUUUUAGUAUAACUUUUCGCUCGUUUAUCGGAAUCAGGCGAUUCAAGCGCCUGGAGUUUCGUCUCGAAACCCUCUUUCCGAAUAAUCAACUUAAACAAGUUUUUGCUACUGUAAAAUUUUCCCUAGAUCCAGAUUACUAGAACAAAGUUGUUUUCUUUCGCCGUUUGAUUUCUUUUGCUUCGUUCGAUUUGAUUCUUUUUGCCAACUAGGGUUCUUAAGUUGAACUUUCUGGUUAGAUUUUCUAUUUGAGUUUUACCUGUGCCUUAGAUGAAUACUUAUUGUAUGCUUGUUGUUUGUCUGCGAUAGAAUACCUGGAGUGCGCCGCUUGUUACUUCGAAUCUCUAGGUUUCGCGGAUCAUCAGCAAGGCAAGUAACACUUUGAUCAUACCUUUUCUACAACCCAGCUUUAUUGCAUUAGAUCAAUCCUCACACAUUGCAUGAUUAGGAUCUAAUUAAACUGUGGGAUGGGAAGUAGAUGAGGUAGUACCUACUACCUGUUUAUUAUCAAACCUUUGGGAGUUACUUCUAUGUUUGCUUAUUAUGCCAUGCUACGCUAGUAGACGUGGAUUGGGUGAGUGAUAUCCAUGACAGAUGUGAGAAUGAUAAUUAAGGGUUUAUCUAAGGUGGCAACCUAACACACAUCUGGGUGGAUUGAGGCACCUGGGGUUACCAGGACUUGCCUGUUUUUCUUGGACCGCCACCCAGGCCCAAAGGGAUCAUGAGAUUAUUCAUACUAGAAACUUCCGUGUGCAGCCACAAGCCAUUAUGGGCUCUGGCAUAGUUGACUAAGUUGUGCAAACUCUUACAGUGGUAGACUAGCAGAUGUAGGGGAAAGUAGGUGUACCGGUCUACCCGUCGUAAGGUGCUAGCGCUUCUGAAAGACUGUGUCUCGGUCAUCCGUCUUCUCAAACACCCUGCAGUGCGAGAAACCAAACGGAGGCAAUCGAGUCUUGUGGGGAAAAGUGCGCAAACCUCUACAGAGUGUAAUAAACUAAUCAUGGUUAGCCGUGUCCCCGGUUAUGGACAUCUUGAGUAUCUAGUACCUGGACUAUCAUGUGAAUCUCAACAUGUUACUCUAAAAUUAAUUUUGUGGGAUUUUAAUGAUGUUACUUAAUUGGGAUUGAAAAUGCUGUCAACCAUUCUCAAUGUUUAACAAUCACCAUGAUAGUAAUUAAUUUAUUCCUUUGAAGUAGGGAAAAAAUGGCUUUACGCAAAAACAGUAACCAUAGAGCUUUCCACCAGCCAAAUAUGCAUAUAGUAUAGCUGUUGCAUUCCAUUAUUCUCUAUGUGUUACCUUGCCAGCAUAUUCCAUGUGCUGACCCGUUUUCGGGCUGCAACGUUAAUGUUGCAGACUUUUCAGACGACGAUUAAGGAGUUUUAGGUCGUGGUUCUAUACUCAGUGAUGCCGUUGGAGUUGAUGGACUCACUUAUCUUCCAAGCCUUCCGCUGUUAUCGUCACUAGAUGGCCUUAAGCCAUAUUUAUUGUAAUAAGUUCUCUCUUGAGACACUCGAUGUAAUAAGUGUGUGAUUGCUACUCUACUAUAAAUCCUCCGAGUACUGUGUGGUGUCAGCAUUACUGAUCCAGGGAUGACACCGGAGCACAGAGAUCAGACUGUUUGAGGUCUGGUCGCUACAAAGAUACCUCAGUAAAAGCUUCCGACAGAUGGGAAAUGAAUUUUUCCCAACAAGCAAACCCGAGGAGAAGCUUCUCAAGUACGAAAACCGGAUUCUCCUGCACACUACUCAGGUCAAGCUUCGUGUGUAAGCUAUCAAGGCUUCUUCUGCACGCUACCCAGACAAAAGCUUUGAGCAGAAGCUAAUGAGUCUUCCUCGACAAGCUACACGAAUGGCUUUUCUCUGCGGAUCAAGGAUCAGAUUUGCAAUAAGUUUGUCAGAGAUAUACCUAAGAAAGGUACGGAUCUAACAACCUUGUGAGCCAUGCAAAUGAAGAUAAGAAGAGAUACAUCUCAUGAAUUACAAGGAUUGACAAGAUCGAGAGAUGACAUCACAAGAUCAACAGUCAUCAAGGUCAUUAUUCCCGCACCAGACAAGGUGAUAUAUAAACUCUUGUCACCUUGUAUGAUUGGCCUCAGCAAUGAGCUCCGUACAUCUACAAACCUCGAGUACAUGUCAUAUAUGUGCGGACACAGGUCAGAAAAACAAGCAGAAGAGAUAAUGGCAAAAACAUUAAUCACAUCCAUGGUCAUACGAAGAAUCAAGGACAUGUGUGGCCAAGUUAUUUCAGCAAGGUAUCCUGACAAAGAAAAUCAUGACCGUUAAAGGGUGAGACUGAAAACAAAGGUAUGAUGUAUUUUGCACGACCAAAAGGGUCCGGAUACCCAAAUCAGUUGGAGGCCAUGAUUCCAUAUGGAUCCACAAAGACAUACACCUUCAGCGGCCUACUCUAUUUACAAGGAUUUUCAUAUCCCGCUGACCGGUUGACAUGGUUAGUGUGGAAUAUCCAAGUCUGUUCUGUCAGCUCCAAGAUUCCUUUGCAACCUCAAUAGUUUGACCUCAACAGCAGAGUUAAAACAUAUCACAGCGUAUUGCCAAAAAUGGGUAUACCGACAAAAUGAGAAAGUUAAAAGCCGAAUAAUCAGCUCAGACCCGGUAUACUCGCCGACGGAAUCAAGUACAUGGUCAGUCUGUCAGGAAAAGCAUUUGUCCGUCAGCCCCUGUUGGGCAAAGUCUCAAGAUGUAAAUAUUUGAGGAAUGACAUAGCUACAACUCCAUGCACCGUUAUAUUGCUCACGACAGAAGGCAGUCAAAUCUCUAGUGUAUGCCACAUGCUCGAGCCAAAGGAAAUAAAGCAAGAUAAAUCGAUGCACCUAUGAGCAGUCAGAUCCCGUCAAAAGAUGGCCAUGAUUAAUUCUAAGCAUUUAUUGAACCCAGAAGGUUUGCAGCAACCCCAUGAUAGAAAUAAAAAGGUUUUCAUGACCAAAGGGAACUUUAUGAUCAGAUCCGUCGGACAUCACCGCAGAUAUGGGAAAAUCAACGUCAGCAACAGGAUUUGGUAUAUGAGCAAAGACCCAUGAAAAUUUGGGAAAAGCCACCCCAGAGCAAGGUAAGUUAAUCAUCUGAAAUUCUUGGGGGAACAAUAAAUAAAGGAAAAAAGGAUGCCCGGGUUGGAAACGGUAUCCUCAAGUCAUACUUGUUCCCAGAGCAACUAAAUCUCAAGGACAAGAUUUCUUUAAGGGCGUAAGAGUUGUAACAGCCUGGAUUUUGGCCCUUUUCUUUUUCUUUUGAUUUAUUAGUUUUUGCUCUGUUUUUUUUUUGGAGUGAUUAUGUGGCCUUGUCACCUGGGAAAUCAUCCUCUUUUUCCCUUCCCAAGUGGCUCAUCAUUCUCAAAACCUUGCCAAGAUCAUGUCACUCCACUGCUUGACCAAACCCUAAUUUUUUUUUCUCAGGAAUAUUCCUUUCUCUAUUAAAGGAAUAACCAUGUCUGCCCUAGGUUGUCAAGCAACCUAUAUUUCUGUCCAUCCUAAAAUUCCCAAAUAAUUCUCAUAAAUUGUUUGGGUCAUAUCUUUCUCUAAUAUGGCAAAAUAUUUCAUUUGUCAUGUUUAUCAUCUUGCUCAAAUAAUUCAUUUCCUAUUCUGUCCUGAAUGGCAGAAUGUGAAGCAAGUGCCAUUUAGCUUUUCCCAACUGACCUCAAACUCCUUGGACACCUUUUACUGUCCAUAUAAUUGCGACAUGCCAAAAUGAAACCUCAUUUUCCUAGUAAUUAUUUAAUUAUGAUUUUCCAAAGUUCCUGUCUGAGGGAAGUGGUUGUGAAGGAAGUAUAAGCUAGGCAUAUCCAAAUGAGUUGCCAUUUUUCAUGGUCCCUCAUAUCAUCAUAUCUUAGCCCUCCACCAAAGUAGAGCUCAUGUCAUGCCUCCAUGUGAGCUCACCUUCAAUUCUUUGGUUCUGCCCAAAAUUUCAGUUUGUGAAGCAAGUAUAUUUUAUCUUGCUCCAUUAUGGCUUCCAAUUUUUCUAGGCCUUCUAUUAUCCAUAUAACCUACCUUCACCCAUUUUGGGCAUUUUUCAUCAAGCCAUUAUUCCUCUAGAAUUUUUGCAAGUUUCUGGUCAGCAAGGAUGUUUGUGAAGCAAGUACCAUUUUGAUGAAUCCAAUUGGUAUGAAACUUAUAUAGCAUCUUUAUGUGAUCAAAUAAUGAAGCCUUGCCAAAAUUGAGCUCAAUUGGCCACACCAUUUGAGUGCAUCAUCCAAAUCUCAUUUCUGGACCAUUUUGGUCAGUUGCAAAGCAACUAUGAUUUAACUUGAUCCAAUUCUUCUCCAAGUUACCAGGAUGAAAGUCCUUCUUUACCUCAAUCCCGCAGACAACUCCAUUGCUCCCAAAACCUUUCAUGUUGAUCAACAGUUCUCACUCAAAUUUAUUGUAGUAAACUUCAAAGGUUGCUUACCUUUUAACCAGAGCCGUUUUCACCGAACUACCACCACGGUUGAGACCUCCCCUGGAUGAACUACUCACUAGACAACAUUUUCAAGCCCCUCUCCCCCACUACAUGCCCGUGCACAUGGUGACCACGACAAUGGCGUGCCUGUGCACGCGCUCUGUGUGCAGUGCGCGUGUCCAGUGGCUGUUUGUGCUGGACCCCCUCCUCCUUCUCUCGUCGCCUUCGCGCACGUGAUCAUGUCCCACAGCUGGCUCGAAUCAUCGCCAUCCUCCUGGAGCCCUCUCCCUCUCCGUCAGCUCUCAUCGCCGCGCGCCCACGGGCGCACUGUGGCCGACCGAGCUUCAAUGGCGUUCGGCUUCUUCCUCUACUCCCCGGUGUCGUCUACCUCUCCGUGAUCCCUGCAUCAAUAGCUCGUCGCCUUCCCGAGCCCUCCCCGUGCCCCUGCUCGCGCCAGCGCGACGGCAGACGCGUCACCGCGGCCGCGCUCACCCCUCGGCACGCCGCAGCUAUAUAUAGGCCUCCCCUGAGCCGUUCGAGCACACCAGCAGCCUCACUCCUCUCCCCUAGACCUCCCCGACCAGUCAACCGAGCCGGAGAGCCUCUCCUGCCCCUCCCAUGGCCGAAGCCUCGCUGCCGGCCUCUGCUUAAAUUCGGCCGAACCGAGCACUCCCUCAUCGUUCUAUCGCCACCAGAGGCCUCUCCACUACCCCUAGCCUCCCUAUCCCCUCGCCUAGUCGCCGGAGUAGGCGUGGCCGCGCUUCCGCCAGGAUCGGCCGCCGCCCGGUUCUCUGUUGCAUGGCCACCUCAUGCUCCAUCCCUCCCCGGCGCCCGCAGCCUGCCCAGAUGGAUGCGCCGCUCCUCGCUGGUCUCGUCAGUGGCCUCGGCACAGCCGGGGACUGCCGGAGCCGUCGGGGCAGUCGCCGGCAUCGCCUCUCCCCUGCCCCUCCUCUGCUUCGAUCGGGCCAGCGGGAGGAAGAAGGAGACAGGAGCCAGGCGGGCCCCGCUCCUCCUCCCUGACCCCACCCGUUAGCCGCACCCACCCGGUCCCGCCUCUGCGCGCGUUGACCGGGUCGGCCGACGUGGAUAUGUGACGGGCCCCGUCCCAUGGGACCCGCACGUCAGCGACCAGCGUACCUGGCCCCGCCUCUGCCCACGUGGCAAGUGGAAGCGUCAACCCGUAGUACGUGUUCGUUUCCUGAAAGCAUAUUUCCAUCUCCUUUUGCUAGAAAUACGUUUACUUAUUCUGAAAGCGUAUUAACUCUCUGUUUAUGCCUAGAAUACGUUUUCUUAAACAGAAAGCGUAUUUCUAACCUUGCGCUUCUGCCUUAUCCACCCAGUGACUUGUUUGUGAUGAUAUUUUUGCAGAAAAGUCCCUGAACUUCAACCCUUUAUAACUUAUUAACCACAACUCCAAAUCGGGUGAUUCCAAAGCCCACGUCUUCGUUUUAUCGAGCCCGUUCUGAUGGAACCAUUUUCACCAUGUUUUGACAUUCUGAAAAUGACCAUUUUUCCCCUGCCCUUAUUCAGCCCCCUCCGAGAGAGUAUGUUUUCCGGCGAUUCUUUCCGCGAGUUUCUCGCACUUUCUCCUGGUGAUUUCUUCCACCCCAGGCAAGCCACACCCUCCAUUUGCAUGAUGGCAAUGCAGUGACAUGGUUUCUUUAUUUAAACUUGUUUAAAAUAUUGUUCUAGCGACUUGUGAUUUGUUCAUGGCAUUUCUGGGAGUAUUAUUUUGAUCUUGCUAUUGCCAUGAUAUUGCUUGGAGUUCUAGGACUUAUAUUUUGAUGAUUAUGUGGAUGACAUGUGCCUUUGGAUUCUUAGUGGCUUUUAUGAUUAUUUUUCUUGAUGGUAUCUGAAAUUAUUUUGAAGCAUUACUGUGGAUAUCAUGUUGCCUUCGGAUUAUUAGUGGCUUUUAUGAUUAGUUUCAUGAUGGCUUGGAUAUGAUAUUUUGAAGCAUUACUUUGGAUAUCAUGUUGCCUUCGGAUUAUUAGUUGCUUUUAUGAUUAGUUUCAUGAUGGCUUGGAUAUGAUAUUUUGGAGUAUUACUUUGGAUAUCAUGCGGCCUUUGGAUUAUUAGUGGUUAGUAUGAUUAUUUUCAUGAUGCUAGUUGAUGUUCUGUUGCUUGGAGUAUUAUUUUCGAAGAUGAUGUUUACACGUGGAUCUUAGCCGAAUAGCUUUAUUCUUGUUAUUGGAGUAGUAGGAGUAUUGUUCUCGUAUUCAUCAUGACAGUAGUGUUGUGCUACCCUUGGAGUAUUUUGAUAUGAUGAUAUUAUGCUUGGAUUAUUUGUUGGAUAUUGCUAUGAUUUGGAUUAUAGUUUAAUAGUUGAUAUUGGAGUAGCAGUUACCACAGUUAUAUUUUUGGGGAUAAAUUACAUCAUUAAGUUGGUUAGGUGCCGCCGAAUCGGGCUUUUCCAGUGCAACCACAUUUGCCUUUUAUGGGAAGGCCCUAAUGCGGUCUAUUGUCGUGCCUCUCGCCGGUGCUUCCAACAAGGAAAGGUUAUGAGCGUGCGUACCCUGGCCCGGUAAGCAGAUAUAACCUUGUGUGCCCGUAGUUGGAUUUUGCACGCGUGUCCCCGAGUGGGAGUGUUUUGACCACGAUGGUGGUGUUUUGACCACGACGGUGGUCGGGGUGUCUUGGUAGACACGGGGCCACCCAUGACUAGCCCAGUUGGGAGUGGGUCGGAGUGGCCGGGAGAGCAUCAUGCCAGUAGAUCGUUUUUGUCGGAACGUCAUUGGUCCAACCGAAUGGGAGUACGAGGCCAUGGGUUCUGUGGUGUGGGUACAGUGUGCUACCUCUGCAGAGUGUAUUUAAUCUAUCGAUAGUCGCGUCCGUAUUAGGUCCCACCGUUCGAUUCAACACUCACAUGACGGAAUGACUUAUAGGUGAUUUAUAUGUUGAUAUGUUGAGCAGUACAGAUUGGCAGGAUGUUGAUGAUGAAGUUUGAGACCCAGUGUUGGUCAUGGUAGUGAUCGCUGGAAAGAUCACAGUUUGAGACCAGGUGUUGGUCAUCGUAGUGAUCGCCGGAAAGAUCACAGUUUGAGACUAAGUGUUGGUCAUGGUGGUGAUCGCUGUAAAGAUCGUCGUAUGGUUUCGAUCAUGAGUUGAUCGAGAUGGUAUAUUGCUUGGUUGGUUAGCCAAGAGAGAUAUGGUUAUGGAGAUCUGAGAUGGUGAUGUAUCAGCAUUGUAUUAGUUCAUCUCAUGCUUAGUAGUUGCUUCAUCAUGGUAGUUGAUAAUUAAUUAACCUGUUAAUGCUAUGUCAUUGUCUUGCCUUGAUGUUUAUGGUUGUUGUGAGCUUGCAGGUACAUUCAAUGUACUGACCUGGCGUGUCAUGCCAGAUUGCAGGUGAUGUCGUGAUUGCUUGAUUGCUUGUCGUGGUUUCCAUUCGUGCGAUCUAGAUCGUGUCCCAGCCAGAGUCCCUACGGAGUGGAGUUCACCACCUUCGUCAUUGUUCCGCUGCUACGAGAUGUUCCGCUCCUAACAUAGAGCAAGUGUAGUAUCGCAGGCGUAGUGUAGACAUGCCGAUGUGAUCAUUGUAACAUUAGACCCGUGUAAUUAUUAUUCUUGUAAUAAGAGCUGAUUUGUUCUAUGUCAAGCAGUGUCGUAUUCCAGAGACUUCUCCUUGAUCUCUGGGCUGGAAUACGGGGCAUUCCGGUUUCUCUGAGCCGGGGUGCCACAGGAAACCCUUCUCCCAUCUAGGGAGAAGAAGAAGAAGGGGGCCUCUCCCCCUCUCUUCCGGUGGCGCCGGAACGCCGCCGGGGCCAUCAUCAUCAUCGCAGUCUACACCAACAACUUCACCGUCAUCAUCACUAACUCUCCCCUCUUUUACCCGUUGUAAUCUCUACUUAAACAUGGUGCUCAACGCUAUAUAUUAUUUCCCAAUGAUGUAUGGCUAUCCUAUGAUGUUUGAGUAGAUCCGUUUUGUCCUAUGGGUUAAUUGAUGAUCGUGAUUGGUUUGAAUUGCAUGGUUUAUUGUUGGUGUUGUCCUAUGGUGCUCUCCGUGUCGCGCAAGAAUGAGGGAUCCCUGUUGUAGGGUUUGCAAUAUGUUCAUGAUUUUCUUAUGGUGGGUGGCGUGAGUGAUAGAAAUACAGACCCGAGUAAGUAGGUUUUUUGCGUAUGGGAAUAAAGAG